rnacentral:rRNA from 1 species
UACAGAGGGGGCAAGCGUUGUUCGGAAUUACUGGGCGUAAAGGGCGCGUAGGCGGCCUUCUAAGUCGAACGUGAAAUCCCCGGGCUCAACCCGGGAACUGCGUCCGAUACUGGAAGGCUUGAAUCCGGGAGAGGGAUGCGGAAUUCCAGGUGUAGCGGUGAAAUGCGUAGAUAUCUGGAGGAACACCGGUAGCGAAGGCGGCAUCCUGGACCGGCAUUGACGCUGAGGCGCGAAAGCCAGGGGAGCAAACGGG